GACGAACGCUGGCGGCGUGCCUAAUACAUGCCAGUAGAACGCUGAAGGAGGAGCUUGCUUCUCUGGAUGAGUUGCGCACGGGUGAGUAACGCGUAGGUAACCUGCCUGGUAGCGGGGGAUAACUAUUGGAAACGAUAGCUAAUACCGCAUAAUAGUAGAUGUUGCAUGACAUUCGCUUAAAAGGUGCAAUUGCAUCACUACCAGAUGGACCUGCGUUGUAUUAGCUAGUUGGUGGGGUAACGGCUCACCAAGGCGACGAUACAUAGCCGACCUGAAAGGGGGGACGGCCCAGCUGGGACUGAGACACGGCCCAGACUCCUAAGGGAGGCAGCAGUAGGGAAUCUUCGGAAAUGGACGGAAGUCUGACCGAGCAACGCCGCGGGAGUGAAGAAGGUUUUCGGAUCGUAAAGCUCUGUUGUUAGAGAAGAAAGAGUGUGAGAGUGGAAAGUUCACACUGUGACGGUAUCUUACCAGAAAGGGACGGCUAACUACGUG
rnacentral:rRNA from 1 species